AGAGCGAACGCUGGCGGCAGGCCUAACACAUGCAAGUCGAGCGCCCGUAGCAAUACGGGAGCGGCAGACGGGAUAGUAACACGUGGGAACGCGCCCUUCGGUUCGGAAUAACUCAGGGAAACUUGAGCUAAUACCGAAUACGCCCUUACGGGGAAAGAUUUAUUGCCGAAGGAACGGCCCGCGUCCGAUUAGCUAGUUGGUGAGGUAAUGGCUCACCAAGGCUACGAUCGGUAGCUGGUCUGAGAGGAUGACCAGCAUCACUGGGACUGGGACACGGCCCAGACUCCUACGGGAGGCAGCAGUGGGGAAUAUUGGACAAUGGGCGCAAGCCUGAUCCAGCCAUGCCGCGUGGAUGAUGAAGGCCUUAGGGUUGUAAAGUCCUUUUAACGGGAAGAUAAUGACGGUACCCGUAGAAUAAGCCCCGGCUAACUUCGUGCCAGCAGCCGC
rnacentral:rRNA from 1 species